CCUACGGGGGGCAGCAGUGGGGAAUAUUGGACAAUGGGGGCAACCCUGAUCCAGCCAUGCCGCGUGUGUGAAGAAGGCCCUCGGGUUGUAAAGCACUUUCAGUGAGGAAGAACGCCUGGUGGUUAAUACCCAUCAGGAAAGACAUCACUCACAGAAGAAGCACCGGCUAACUCCGUGCCAGCAGCCGCGGUAAUACGGAGGGUGCGAGCGUUAAUCGGAAUUACUGGGCGUAAAGCGCGCGUAGGUGGCUUGAUAAGCCGGUUGUGAAAGCCCCGGGCUCAACCUGGGAACGGCAUCCGGAACUGUCAAGCUAGAGUGCAGGAGAGGAAGGUAGAAUUCCCGGUGUAGCGGUGAAAUGCGUAGAGAUCGGGAGGAAUACCAGUGGCGAAGGCGGCCUUCUGGACUGACACUGACACUGAGGUGUGAAAGCGUGGGUAGCAAACAGGAUUAGAUACCCUGGUAGUC
rnacentral:rRNA from 1 species